GCCCUCUCAAGGUCACAUCUGGAGAGUUUCUAGUAGUCUACCAGUCUCAACUAUGAGAGGAAGAGUCAAACAGAGGCCUACCCAUUCCAUUCCUAGCUUCGGCAGUGGCUAGCGAGUGGAAGGCAAUCUGCUAUAAGU